CAGAAGCUAACCCAAACUUAACAAUCAACAAUCAGCAGUAAAAUCAACUUAUGAAAACAAUGGAAUAGUAACUACCCAAAAGAAUUCAACCCAAAACUUUCAGAAAUCAAAAUUUACAUCUCAAUGUCGGAUAGAAUCAGAAAAUGUUUCAGUGAUUGAAAACUUCAAAACUCAAAGCAGAGAAAUCAAUGGACCAAUUUUUAGAUUUUUAGCCUUUGCUACUUUUUU
rnacentral:lncRNA from 1 species